UACGUAGGGGGCAAGCGUUAUCCGGAUUUACUGGGUGUAAAGGGAGCGUAGACGUCAGCACAAGUCUGGAGUGAAAUCCCAUGGCUUAACCAUGGAACUGCUUUGGAAACUGUGCAGCUGGAGUGCAGGAGAGGUAAGCGGAAUUCCUGGUGUAGCGGUGAAAUGCGUAGAUAUCAGGAGGAACACCAGUGGCGAAGGCGGCUUACUGGUCUGUAACUGACGCUGAGGUUCGAAAGCGUGGGUAGCAAACAGG
rnacentral:rRNA from 1 species